ACUAAAUGGGGUACCGAAAUACAUCCAAAAGAGGUCGACACGAAAUUAGACUAGGUUUAUUUCUGUUUUGACCUGCUGAGUCGCAGUGCUUAGUGAACAGAUUUCAAUGUGGGCCUAGCUGUAUCGAAAACGGUUGAUGGGGAAAGUGUGUAAUCUGAUCAAUAUAUUUCCCCCCCAAUAUUAAUGAGAGAAUGGGAAUGUGCAUAAAGGUUUAACAUUCCAUGACGUGGUAUGAAGUUCUUAAUUCGUCAGUGGCUGCAAUAUUGUCCUCAGUAAACUCAACAUGAGUGAAAACAACACAGACAAGGACACGUUUUUCGAGAUAUAAAAAAUAUUGUAUGCUAUUAUGGAUGAAGAAAAUGUAGGUUAAAUGACACUAAAUAUUUGGGAAUGUAACUAAGGAAAACGUCAUUUAAGAUAACAUAGGCUAUUGCAAAACAAAUGUCUAAUUCUCUCUAUUAAGUCAAUCACCAGUUUAGCUAUGAUAUGGCUGUAGCUCUAUGAUGUCCUUUGCAAGAAUCUAAUCUGACAUUGACAUGAAAUUCCUAUGUCCUUCAGGUAGUACAGAGAGAUGAUGAUGAUCCCCCGAGGGAGGGGAGGGAGGUUGUUGAGGAAGAACCAGUGGCCCAGCUCAAGAAGGAGCCCAAGAAGACAGGAAAGGCGAAGAGGAAAAGUAGUGCCAAGAAGUCAGGGGAGCAGGGCACUGAUACGGAUGCAGGUCAUAGAUUUUCCCUCUGUAGUAUGUUGGUUCUCUAAACCUGCAUAUCAUAGAUAAAGGUCAUGUUAGAAACUGUAGUCAGUAAGAAAUGUUGCAUGGAUAGUUUUAUUCAAUAGUCCUAUUGUAGCAAUUUUAUCAAAGUAUUGUAUUAAGAGAAAAGCGUCUGACUUAUCCUGAAUUGUCCUAGUUGGUAAUAACAUAUUUAGGAUUGAGGAAUAAACACCCGGACAGAGGAUCUGUUAUUGAGCUCUUGGAGAAGAAUGCUCUUAAGGCUGCAUUCGGCCCAGGCAACAAAGAUGAGAUGGAGGACUGCUACCCAAUCCUCAUCUCAUUCAUGCGCAAUCUUACUGAUGAGCAAUGGCAAGUGAUCUAUAAAGGAUUUAAAAAACCUAUGACAAAGGAACAGCUUGCAAAAUUGUGCAAGACCAUUGUCAACUUCAUUGCACAGACCACCCUGCAGAUCCUGCUGCCGGCCCUGGCCCGCAUUCUAGGGGUGACGGGCUUUUAUGACAACGCUGACUCACUCAAGAGGGGUGGCAGUGCAAGAUCCUUCACUGCCUUUGAGCAGAAAAGACUAGAGCUCAUCCAGGAAGUUAAAUAUUUGGCGAAGUAACUGUGGCGGCAGGGCUCUCCGACCAAGGUCUAGCACACCCUCUUCCAAGAGUUCCCAGACCUCACUGAAAGUCCACCUGGGAAUGCCAGAGGACAGUAUCAUCAGCAGUGUCCAGGAGCAACUGUCAAAAUCUGACCAAAUGGUGGAUGCAGGACAGCUUUCACAAAUAGAUAAAGUGGUUG